CUUUCCUGCUACUGGCACCUGGAUGAAAUUAAUUGUGAUUCACAGCCACUGAAGUGAGAAAAGCAACCCCAAUGGAAGAUUACUUUCCCUCUUCAUUUCUGAAAAUUCAGACCCAACAGUUUUGACCAUCAGUUCCACAGUAGGCUUUCUUUGGCAAAGAAAUAGACUUUCUUUGGCAAAUGAUUCAGUAUGUGG